GUUUUUUUGUGAUAUACCGUUACCUGUCAUAAGGAGUGUAACCGUUCUGCUGCAGGAAGUCGUCUUUGAUCAGUUUGGCCACUUCCAGGGUGAUUUUAUCCGUUUCUGCCAGUGACGCCUGUUAAAGUGGCGAUCAGGAAGAAAACCGAAGGGUUCAGCCAAAGAUCAAACCUCUGCCACAGGCUCAAUGCUGACUAACCUUUCCGACGAGCUGCACGAUCUCAGCCAGGUCCUCCUCCUCCUGCAGGAUCUCCUUGGACUUAGUACGCAGGGGCACGAAUUCGGGGAAGUGCUUGUCGUAGUACUCGUCCAGAGCACGGGUGUAUUUGCUGUAGCUGAUGAGCCAGUUCACAGACGGAAAGUGCUUCCUCUGCGCCAGCUUCUUAUCCAGACCCCAGAACACCUGAGAAAGGAAAACGCGGGUUGCCCAGACACUUCACCCUGCCGGCCCGCUCAUAGAAGGAGGCGAGACGGGCGCCCAGGCCCCUGACUGAAUCCAGCUGUUGGCUUCAAACAAAAGCAUGUUCAUAAGAGCAGUGAAAAAAGGGGAGGACAUUGCUCAACAGUAAGGAUACACGUCUCCUCAUAGACCUGGAUGGUCGCCAUGUCUCCCUCCAACCGGAUGAUCUCUCCAACCAGCUCGCUGUGGCCGACACGCACCAGCUCAUACAUGGCUGCUCCCGCCAUGGCGGUAGCCGUCACCACUAGAAAUACAGACAAGCGCCUCCUGCAACAAUGGCCACCUCAAGGAAAAUACAGCAACAUCACUGCUCACGUCUCCAUAUCUCAGCGUUGUGAUCUAGGACACCCCCUCCUCCCCCUCCUCGGCAGCUGACAGACCUCAGUUCCAGUGCUACAGUCAGUCAGUGUGACGUGUCAGGCUAACAUUAGAGGGGGAAUCCCUCACACUGCAGCAUGUUCCUCUGUUCCCCUUCACACACGUACACCGUGCUCCUUAGUAAUAGCAUCACUGUCUCCAACUCUAAUGUCUCCAUCCUAUUAUUCAUAUUUUUUUUCCAUCACGUCUGCCAGACACCACGCCAACUCAAUUUGCCCAACAUGCAGGAGCGACACAAACACAAGCUGUCCUCAGUCGUGACAAAAACCCAUCUCCACAGAGGGGCGGACUGCGGGUGCCGUUCACACACUGAAGAGCAGCCUCAUCUGCAAUAUACUGAGACAGAGACCAAGCCAACACACUCACAUCACUGAGUUUUUGCAUCCCUCAUUUCUCAUUCUCUGUCCAUCCCAUCACACAUCCAAUACAUCUGUGCACUUUUCUCGUCCUUCCCACCA